GGGGCCUGGCCGAGCGCGCACCUGCACACGUGCGCCGGCAGGCGGGAGGUCAUUCGGCGGCCCAGCUGGUUUGUUUUCAACAAUACCGUCAAAGCCACACGCCCACCGUUAUUUACGCCGCCAGCCAGCGCCGGCACCUCGGAGGGAGGAAGGAAACACCUAAGGCGCUGGGGGCGGAAACGCUGAGGAGGAGGGGUGCGCCUCAGGCGAGAGCUAGCCGGCGCCGACCGGGCCUGGGGCAGCGGCCGCAGCUCCCCGCCCGGGACCGCGCACAAAGGCCCGAGGUCCGGGCCGCACUCACCGAAGUCCAGGAACUGCUUCAUGGAGAGCGGGGACGGCGAGAAGCGCGCGUAGAAGUCCACCUGGCCCGGAACGCCGCGCUCGGACGCCGGGCUGGAGCCCGAGUCCGAGCUGAAGCUGCGGCUGGGGCCAGCGGUGCCCAGCCCCGGGCCCGGGCCGGCCAAAGCGGCUCCGCGAAGUAGCCGCGCCAGCCUCAUGCCGAGUCCCGCUAGAGAAGCCACAACCCGGGCGCCAGGUUUCCCCGCGCGUCUGCCGAGUGGAUUGAGGCAAAUACUUGAAGUCGCAAUCCAAGGUCAAGAAAACAGAAUCAAGAGGUCACAGUCCUCCUCUGAUGAUGGCUCAGAAAGCUGGAAGACACUCAACAUUGAAUCCUGGGACUCCGUGCCAUGCUUGCUAGGAGAAACAGCCACCGUGAGUCCAUCUUUCAGAUCUCAAGUGAACAGUCAUUCUCCAGCUGGGAUUGAGAACAAGGGGAAGCUGGCCAUAGAGCCAGGUGGCCAAAGAUGGAAGACAAAGGGUGGGCUGUGAUUCCCAGAGCUCCAAGCCUGGUUCUGUCUUGUCACACCAGCUGUUACUGAUGAACAGGUGAGUGGAAACUACUGUAGAGCUUUACAACUCCAAAAAUAAUUUCUUACCUUUGGUUUCAUUACAGUGUAGUUAUUUCCAUGGGGAUGACGCACACCUGUGAAACUCAUCCACCAUGUGCCCAUAAGGGGAAGAGGGAUAUAAGCUCUGUUGAUGCAUUAAAUUCGAUUACCAGUGAGCAGUGCUUAGACCACAUUAGCUUGUCAACUGCCAAAAUACCUUCUCUAAAUUAACUCUGUAAUGUACCACCCACUGUUCUCAUUGAACUUCAGUACAGGAAGUCACCCAAUGAAGGGAUUUUCAUAUCUUUUACAAAAUCAUCUAUUAAGGACAUCAUCCACUCUUGGUGUUUAUAAGAGGCCAUCUUAUAAAAGGAUCCAUAUCUUAAGUUGUUCUCCGAAUUUAGAACCAAAAGGGAAAAUCUUAUUCCCCUGAAGAAUUAUGCAUUUUUUUGGUCAUUUAAAAAAAAUUUUUGACAGCCAGGAAGCUUGGAUACUCUCUACUUGCCUCCUUAGGGAUAAAUGGGGACAAUAUAAAUACAACCAAUAAACAAUCCCCCUCAAUUUCCCUAGCUAAUUUGACAAUGUUUUCCUGGUUCUGUCUCUUACAGCAUGACAUUCUUAACAGUUGACACUGUAUCUUACCCAACUUUGCAUCUCUAGCAUUUAGCACAGGGAAGGCAUACAUUGUGUCUUUCAUAGGUGUUUAUUAACAAGAUGGAUUUAAUUUAACUGAUGCUAAAAUAUAGCAUGGCUUCCCUGGCUCAAUUAUGUGACUGCUGCUCUCCCUGACUUCAUUAUAAUAGUGUCCUAAUU